AUUGAACGCUGGCGGCAGGCCUAACACAUGCAAGUCGAGCGAGCGGCGGACGUGUUAGUUAUGUAUGUGGAUCUGCCUGAUGGAGGGGGAUAACUACUGGAAACGGUAGCUAAUACCGCCUACCUUCAGAUGAACCCAUGUGGGUUUAGCUUGUAGGUGAGGUAACGGCUCACCAAGGCGCCGAUCCGUAGCUGGUCUGAGAGUAUGAUCAGGCACACUGGCACUGAGACACGGACCAGACUCCUACGGGAGGCAUCAGUGGGGAAUAUUGGACAAUGGGCGAAAGCCUGAUGCAGCCAUGCCGCGUGUAUGAAGAAGGCCUUCGGUUUGUAAAGUACUUUCAGUUGGGAGGCGUUACCGACAGAAGAAGCACCGGCUAACUCCGUGCCAGCAGCCGCGGUAAUAC
rnacentral:rRNA from 1 species